rnacentral:rRNA from 1 species
AUUGAACGCUGGCGGCAGGCCUAACACAUGCAAGUCGAACGGCAGCACAGAAGAGCUUGCUCUUUGGGUGGCGAAUGGCGGACGGGUGAGUAAUGUCUGGGAAACUGCCCGAUGGAGGGGGAUAACUACUGGAAACGGUAGCUAAUACCGCAUAACGUCGCGAGACCAAAGUGGGGGACCUUCGGGCCUCACACCAUCGGAUGUGCCCAGAUGGGAUUAGCUAGUAGGUGGGGUAAUGGCUCACCUAGGCGACGAUCCCUAGCUGGUCUGAGAGGAUGACCAGCCACACUGGAACUGAGACACGGUCCAGACUCCUACGGGAGGCAGCAGUGGGGAAUAUUGCACAAUGGGCGCAAGCCUGAUGCAGCCAUGCCGCGUGUAUGAAGAAGGCCUUCGGGUUGUAAAGUACUUUCAGCGGGGAGGAUGGCGGUGAGGUUAAUAACCUUGCCGAUUGACGUUACCCGCAGAAGAAGCACCGGCUAACUCCGUGCCAGCAGCCGCCGUAA